rnacentral:rRNA from 1 species
GAUGAACGCUAGCGGCAGGCCUAACACAUGCAAGUCGAGGGGCAGCAGGGAUUUAGCUUGCUAAAUUCGCUGGCGACCGGCGCACGGGUGCGUAACGCGUAUCCAACCUUCCCGUUACUCCGGGAUAGCCUUCCGAAAGGGAGAUUAAUACCUGAUGGUGUUUGAAUUCCGCAUGUUAUUCAAACUAAAGAUUUAUCGGUAACGGAUGGGGAUGCGUGACAUUAGAUAGUAGGCGGGGUAACGGCCCACCUAGUCUACGAUGUCUAGGGGUUCUGAGAGGAAGGUCCCCCCACACUGGAACUGAGACACGGUCCAGACUCCUACGGGAGGCAGCAGUGAGGAAUAUUGGUCAAUGGUCGGAAGACUGAACCAGCCAAGUAGCGUGAAGGAUGAAGGUUCUAUGGAUUGUAAACUUCUUUUAUACGGGAAUAAAACCUCCCACGUGUGGGAGCUUGUAUGUACCGUAUGAAUAAGCAUCGGCUAACUCCGUG